rfam:Stegodyphus mimosarum contig39410, whole genome shotgun sequence.
GCCUUCGUGGUAUAGUGGUCAGCACGCUUGACGCAUAACCGAGAGGCCCGUGGUUCGAUUCCCGGCGAAGGCG